ensembl:miRNA
GGGAAAGCGUGGGAUGUCCAUGAAGUCAGGGGAUGGUGAUAAGGUCAAGGCCUGUUCAUUGGAACCCUGCGCAG